UCCAGCUCCAAUAGCGUAUA
rnacentral:siRNA from 1 species